AUGAACGCUGGCGGCGUGCCUAAUACAUGCAAGUCGAACGAGAGCCCUUGUAGCAAUACGAGGGUUUCUAGUGGCGAACGGGUGAGUAACGCGUUGGUGAUCUGCCCCGAAGUGGGGAAUAACAGUCCGAAAGGAUUGCUAAUACCCCAUGUGGUUGCGAGAGUUAGAGGUCUUGCAACUAAAGGAGUAAUUCGCUUCGGGAGGAGCCUGCGUCCCAUCAGCUAGUUGGUAGGGUAAUGGCCUACCAAGGCGGAGACGGGUAGGGGACCUGAGAGGGUGACCCCCCACACUGGAACUGAAACACGGUCCAGACACCUACGGGUGGCAGCAGUAGGGAAUAUUGGACAAUGGGCGAAAGCCUGAUCCAGCAACGCCGCGUGCACGAUGACGGCCUUCGGGUUGUAAAGUGCUUUUAAGGGAGAUGAGAAAGGACAGUAUCCCUUGAAUAAGCCUCGGCGAACUACGU
rnacentral:rRNA from 1 species